GUGACCUUCAAAGAACCACUGGAUCAGUUGUAGGCCGUCUAUCCGGCCAUCAUCCACCCCCCUUUUUGAAAUCCUGGAUCCGCCCCUGCUAUCAUCCCUCUCUUACCCACAUCACAACCAGACGAUCACCUUAAUUGCCACGGCCAUAAUAGCGCAGCCUAAACGCUGGUGUCCUGCGUAACCGGUAGAGGUAGUAUUUGCCACAGUUUCUGACUUUGAUGUAGACGCCCCAUUUGCAGCAGUUUCCCGCCUAAUUGAAGCACACCUUGCGAGUCACUGCAACUUGGCCUACAGUGGCCUACAGAACCGACCAUCCAUCCAGGGGCAUAAGGUACCACAGCGUUUCGGUGGUACACAGGCGAUCGGUAUAGCUGUUUCUGCUGCGCCGUAGAAGCGAUACCAACGGAUUCCAGGAAAAAGGUCACAUGUGGCGUUGCUCUGACCGGUAUUGCAGAUGGACCUGCUAUAGUCAUUCAAUUGUGUACCUUGGCAUGCUGCAAAGGAGAAAUGCAGUGAAAGCACACCUUGCGUGUCACCAGGCUAUAACGACGGGCAGGAUGAGAUCCAACCAUCCAGAAGCGUGGGUGCCACAGAGUCUUACAGGUACACAUCUGGUAGGCAUGGCAUUACCUGCUUUGCCGAGGAAGCGGUACCAGCGAUUACAAGGAAGGAACUUUAUACGGAGGCAAAAAACGUCCAUAGCCCUAUCAUAGGGCUGUGCCACGCACAAGCUCGCCGAGAUGAAAAGUGAAAAUAUCUUUUCUUAUUACGCUACCAGUGUCUCUUGAAAAUCCGUGUUGCUAUAGUAGUGUAAUGGUGCAAGCGGGUCGAAUCGAGUUUUCCGCAACACCAGCUACUGCCUGCAAAUAGUAUUCUAUUUCAUAACACUCCCUAUCAUAGUUCGAAAAAGGCAUGUAAAAAAUAAUUGGUCAGCAACAGCUUGGCUUAAGGCGGGGAGGCUAGCGGUACGAGUCGAGCGAAUUCAUAGAUCCGACAUGUCAAUCACGCGCGCACGAAUAGCCAAUCAGGAAAGAGAUGAUGCAAUAACAGCCAUGUGGUGGGACUUUUGUGGGACAUUUGGGUUGCACUUUGCUGGCUUCUAUUUUCUGCUUUCUGAUUGGAUAUUCGUGCGCGCGUCGGAUCUAUGAAUGGGGCUUGGUGAGGGGACGUUCCAUUCCGUCGUUCCGCUGGAGAACUGAGUACGAGUUGAGUUGGCAAUCCUCUCGCUAUUUAUGGCCCUGUUCUUGCGUAACCAUCGCCAAAAUCAUCACCUUGCCUCACAGGUUACAUUGUUCUAGCCUAUUUCAAACUUGCUUAUGAUUAUGUGUGUUAUGAAUAGGCAGAUAUCAACUAGUCGGUUCUUAUACGAAUAUAAGCUUAGAUCGUCGUGCGAUUUCUGUCCAAAAAGAAAACGAAAGUUUCGCGAGGAGCAGAAACAAGAUUAAGGAAUAUAAAUACAAAACAUUGCGUUUAUUUGUUAAUGGUUUUUGGCUCACAUUAAAACGCAUAGCAUUUUAAACAUUUCUAGAAGAAAUUAUUAAAUACACCUUUGGUUUUUAGAUUACAAAUUUGAAUACAAUAUUAUUUACUAUCAUUAUUUGCUAUCAUUAGAAUUGUAAACAUUUGCUGCUAUCUAUUGCUAAAAAAAGACCACGUUCUGCGAUGUGCAGUCGACAGACGUGCCGGAAGGAUUUGAG